GACGAACGCUGGCGGCGUGCUUAACACAUGCAAGUCGAACGGAAAGGCCCUGCUCUUGUUGGGUGCUCGAGGGGCGAACGGGUGAGUAACACGGGAGUAACCUGCCCUUGACGUUGGGAUAACUUCAGGAAACGGGGGCUAAUACCGGAUAGGAGCGCCUGCUGCAUGGUGGGGGUUGGAAAGUUUCGGCGGUUGGGGCUGGACUCGCGGCUUAUCAGCUUGUUGGUGGGGGAGUGGCUUACCAAGGCUUUGACGGGUAGCCGGCAUGAGAGGGUGACCCGCCCCAUUGGGACUGAGAUACGGCCCAGACUCCUACGGGAGGCAGCAGUGGGGACUAUUGCCCAAUGGGCGGAAGCCUGAUGCAGCAACGCCGCGUGCGGGAUGACGGCCUUCGGGUUGUAAACCGCUUUCGCCUGUGACGAAGCGUGAGUGACGGUAAUGGGUAAAGAAGCACCGGCUAACUACGUG
rnacentral:rRNA from 1 species